rnacentral:rRNA from 1 species
UGCGUAGGCGGGCUAAUAAGUCAGUGGUGAAAUCUCUCGGCUCAACCGGGAAACUGCCAUUGAUACUGUUAGUCUUGAGUUCGGUUGAGGUAGGCGGAAUGUGUAAUGUAGCGGUGAAAUGCUUAGAUAUUACGCAGAACACCAAUUGCGUAGGCAGCUUACUAGACCGACACUGACGCUGAGGCACGAAAGCGUGGGGAGCGAACAGGAUUAGAUACCCUGGUAGUCC